rnacentral:rRNA from 1 species
GACGAACGCUGGCGGCGUGCUUAACACAUGCAAGUCGAACGGAAAGGCCCUGCUUGCAGGGUACUCGAGUGGCGAACGGGUGAGUAACACGUGGGUGAUCUGCCCUGCACUUCGGGAUAAGCCUGGGAAACUGGGUCUAAUACCGGAUAGGAGCCAUUUUUAGUGUGAUGGUUGGAAAGUUUUUUCGGUGUAGGAUGAGCUCCCGGCCUAUCAGCUUGUUGGUGGGGUAAUGGCCUACCAAGGCGGCGACGGGUAGCCGGCCUGAGAGGGUGGACGGCCACAUUGGGACUGAGAUACGGCCCAGACUCCUACGGGAGGCAGCAGUGGGGAAUAUUGCACAAUGGGCGCAAGCCUGAUGCAGCGACGCCGCGUGGGGGAUGACGGCCUUCGGGUUGUAAACUCCUUUCGCUAGGGACGAAGCUUUUUGUGACGGUACCUAGAUAAGAAGCACCGGCUAACUACGUG